GGGACGGUACAGAACUCGGAGGACCAUUGAUGCCCUGCCCCGCCCGCCCAGCACCGGUUCUGCCGCCUUAGCUCGAAGGGUCAGCCAGGCCAUCUCCUGCCUCGGGACGGAGAGCGCCCUGGAAAAGGCAGAGGGGCCGACCUUAGUCACACAACAGCAAUGGCAAGAUUUUCACCCAAGCAAUCUGACUUGGAACCCAUGGAUUAACCAACUCACUAUACUGCCACUGGAGGCAAAUCCAGAGACCAAGGGAGCAGUUUAUACAGAAACAGAUGCCGGCAUUAACCCACAGGGAGUUAUUGUUACAGACUGAAGAACAGAAAAAGAAAAAGCCAGAUAGAGCCUUAUUCCACCCAGCUUAGCUUCCAUAGAACAUUGUGAAUGAGAGAGUAGAUUCUUGAGAAAAUCCUGGAGUUACCCAGUUUUCAUGACUCGUUUCGUUAGACCAUCAUUUCCCAAACUGUGUUCUUUAUAAAAAAGCAGUUCUUCAGAAGGCUGGAAAGUAUUGUUUGGAAGGGGGUUCCAUGGUGAAGUCAGUUUGGAAUGCAGGGUUUACCCAAUUUUGAGAAGUUUCUUUGCAGGACUUCUCAGGGCCUUUGUGAAUCUCCAAGAAAAGAAUGUAGUAUGAAAGAUGAAAACUUUCUCCUGGCUGAUGGAACACACAUUGCAAAGCACUUCUAUAGACCAAUAUGAUUUCCAGUAAGAGCUAAAUAAAUUUUGUCAGUUGUUAAGGCAUAAAACAUUAAUAUAGGAUAUUACAGUCCUAGGCUUGCAUUACUUAAUUUGGAUUUUUCACCUAAGAAAAAUUAACUUUAAUGUGAAAAAUUAGGAGACAAUAUAGAGAAAAUUCAAGAGCCUCUCCAGAUAAAUUCUUAGAACUAAUGACAAAGUUCUCUAAAGUUUCUGGAUAUAAGAUGCCUGGGAUGCUGGAGGGGGAAAUACUUUCUUAUUUAUUAAUAGCAAGCAAUUAGAAUAAUAUUUUAAAUACCAUUUAUAAUAGUAUCAAAAUCUAUAAAGUAUCUAGGAAUAAGUCUAAUAAAAUAUGGCCAAAACAUUCAUGGAGAAAACUUAUAGCCUUUAUUUAAAGACAUAAAAUAAUUCUUAAACAAAUGGAGACAUUAUUAAAUAUGUUUAUGGAUGGAGAGACUCAAUGUAGUAAAGAUGUAAUCUUCUCCAUCUUUCACUUCCUUUGCUUCCUAAUUAAGACUUAUAUCGCUUUUGGCUGGGCACAGUGGCUCACACCUGUAAUCCCAGCUCUUUGGGAGGCCAAGGCUGACAGAUCGCAUGAGGCCAGGAGUUCGAGACCAGCCUGGCCAAUAAGGUGAAACCUUAUCUCUACUAAAAAAAAUAAUAAUAAUAGCUGGAUGUGGUGGUGUGUGCCUGUAAUCCCAGCUACUUGGGAGGCUGAGGCAGGAGAAUCACUUGAACCUGGGCAGCAGAGGUUGCUGUGAACCAAGAUUGUGCCUCUGCAUUCCAGCCCGGGCAACAGAGCAAGACUCCAUCUAAAAAAAAAAAAAAAAAAAGACUUAUAUUUCUCUUCUCACCCUUCUUUCACUGUCAGAAUGUCUCCUGCCCAUCUUAGCAAGCCUCUAGUGAGACACAUUUUGGAGCUCCAUCUAAAGAUCCUCAAUAGUAACCUGAUGUUCGUAAGGUUUCUAGUGAAGUACAAAAAGCUCUCAAGCCGGGUGCGGUGGCUCACGCCUGUAAUACCAGCACUUUGGGAGUCCAAGGCGGGUGGAUCACAAGGUCAGGAGAUCUAGACCAUCCUGGCUAACAUGGUGAAACCCCGUUUCUACUAAAAAUGCAAAAAAUUAGUCGGGCUUGGUGGCGGGUGCCUGUAGUCCCAGCUACUCGAGAGGCUGAGGCAGGAGAAUGGCGUGAACCCAGGAGGUGGAGCUUGUAGUGAGCCGAGAUUGUACCACUGCACUCCAGCCUGGGGGACAGAGCAUGACUCCAUCUCAAAAAAAAGCAAAAAAAAAAAAAAA
ensembl:lncRNA